AUACCCCACAACGCACUCUCAAAGUAAAGCAGGCUACAUGUGGGGAAAAUUGGCCUUGUUUGUGGAGUGAACCCUACUAUGUUUCCUCUCUCUCUUCUCUCUCUCUCUCUCUCUCACACACACACACAAACACACACACACACAAUGUGCUAGAGUGGUCCAUCACACUUUGUGUGUGUAUGGGCAUGUUAAUUCAUUUUCUUCCACUCCUCCACACCUUUCUACUGUCUGAAAUUUCCACUUUCCGUUUCUCUAUAUACUUGGAGAUAUAUAUGUGUAUAUAUAGCAACAGCCUUUGGUAGCUCAGUUCAAGAGAUGAAAGCAAAAACCCAAUAAUUGAAAAAUUAUAUAAAAAGCCCUUUCAUGCUUUUCCACAGCUUUCUUGAACUUCUUCUUCUGCUUCAGGUCUGAUCUGAUCCAUCCAUCCCCCUCCCCCCUCCCAUUCUGACCAGAAACAUGGUAAUUAUAAGCUCAAGAAAGCUGUGGGAAAACAUGAUAAUUCUGGACUUUUUAGUACUCGAUCAUCUCUUGGUGACUCAAAUGCAGCUUUUUCACUUGAUAUAUAUCUACUCGUGUGACGUUCGAUGGUAAAAUCAGCAACAUACGGCGAUUUUAAGUUCUUUAAAUUUACCCGUUUUCACAUCGAGUGCUUUAAAAUGAUGGGGUGGAAGAAUUUUUCAGUAACAAUCAAUUUGGGCAUAUUACACUCAGAAUUCACCGGAGAGUUUGUUGAAUUAGGGGGUUUUCAGAAGUGUACGAAAGAAUUCAAUGACCCGACAAUUCUGACUGUUUACCGUGGAAAAUUACAGUUGAAAAUUCGGAGUUUAAGAAAUGUUUUUUUUCCCCUUCAUUUCUGUAAUGUUUUCACAGCAUUCUUUUCUUUGACUUGUUAUUGUGUUUUGUUAUGGAUAGUUUAGUUUUCAUCUGAAUGGUUGAAAUAAACAAGAAAGAAACUGAGAGGUGGAGCAGAGAAGAUUCCCUGCCAUUAUUUCCUCCUUAUGAUCAAUAAUAA